rnacentral:rRNA from 1 species
GGCGGACGGGUGCUUAACGCGUAGGAAUCUACCUCGUAGUGGGGGACAACCCGGCGAAAGCCGGGCUAAUACCGCAUACGAUCCAAGGAUGAAAGCCGGGGACCGCAAGGCCUGGCGCUAUGAGAUGAGCCUGCGUCGGAUUAGCUAGUUGGUGAGGUAAUGGCUCACCAAGGCAACGAUCCGUAGCUGGUCUGAGAGGACGACCAGCCACACUGGGACUGAGACACGGCCCAGACUCCUACGGGAGGCAGCAGUGGGGAAUAUUGGACAAU